GCCAGACUCCUACGGGAGGCAGCAGUGGGGAAUAUUGCACAAUGGGGGGAACCCUGAUGCGGCGACGCCGCGUGAGUGAAGAAGUAUUUCGGUAUGUAAAGCUCUAUCAGCAGGGAAGAAGAUGACGGUACCUGACUAAGAAGCCCCGGCUAACUACGUGCCAGCAGCCGCGGUAAUACGUAGGGGGCAAGCGUUAUCCGGAUUUACUGGGUGUAAAGGGAGCGUAGACGGCAGGGCAAGUCUGGAGUGAAAGCCCGGGGCCCAACCCCGGGACUGCUUUGGAAACUGCCAUGCUAGAGUGCUGGAGAGGUAAGCGGAAUUCCUAGUGUAGCGGUGAAAUGCGUAGAUAUUAGGAGGAACACCAGUGGCGAAGGCGGCUUACUGGACUGUAACUGACGUUGAGGCACGAAAGUGUGGGGAGCAAACAGGAUUAGAUACCCUUGUA
rnacentral:rRNA from 1 species